CGGGACGGGGUGGAGUAAUGUCUGGGAAACUAGCCUGAUGGAGGGGGAUAACUACUGGAAACGGUAGCUAAUACCGCAUAACGUCGCAAGACCGAAGAGGGGGACCGUUCGGGCCUCUUGCCAUCGGAUGUGCCCAGAUGGGAUUAGCUAGUAGGUGGGGUAACGGCUCACCUAGGCGACGAUCCCUAGCUGGUCUGAGAGGAUGACCAGCCACACUGGAACUGAGACACGGUCCAG
rnacentral:rRNA from 1 species